AUUGAACGCUGGCGGCAGGCCUAACACAUGCAAGUCGAACGGUAACAGGAAACAGCUUGCUGUUUCGCUGACGAGUGGCGGACGGGUGAGUAAUGUCUGGGAAACUGCCUGAUGGAGGGGGAUAACUACUGGAAACGGUAGCUAAUACCGCAUAACGUCGCAAGACCAAAGAGGGGGACCUUCGGGCCUCUUGCCAUCGGAUGUGCCCAGAUGGGAUUAGCUUGUUGGUGGGGUAACGGCUCACCAAGGCGACGAUCCCUAGCUGGUCUGAGAGGAUGACCAGCCACACUGGAACUGAGACACGGUCCAGAGUCCUACGGGAGGCAGCAGUGGGGUUUAUUGCACAAUGGGCGCAAGCAUGAUGCAGCCAUGCCGCGUGUAUGAAGAAGGCCUUCGGGUUGUAAAGUACUUUCAGCGGGGAGGAAGGUGCUGAGGUUAAUAACCUCAGCAAUUGACGUUACCCGCAGAAGAAGCACCGGCUAACUACGUGCCAGCCGCCGCGGUAA
rnacentral:rRNA from 1 species